AUUGAACGCUGGCGGCAGGCUUAACACAUGCAAGUCGAGCGGAGACUUCGGUCUUAGCGGCGAACGGGUGAGUAAUACCUAGGAAUCUGCCUAUUAGUGGGGGAUAACGAAUCGAAAGGUUCGCUAAUACCGCAUACGUCCUACGGGAGAAAGGGGGGGAUCUUCGGACCUCUCGCUAAUAGAUGAGCCUAGGCCGGAUUAGCUAGUUGGUAGGGUAAAGGCCUACCAAGGCGACGAUCUGUAGCUGGUCUGAGAGGAUGGCCAGCCACACUGGAACUGAGACACGGUCCAGACUCCUACGGGAGGCAGCAGUGGGGAAUAUUGGACAAUGGGGGCAACCCUGAUCCAGCCAUGCCGCGUGUGUGAAGAAGGCCUGGUUGUAAGACACUUAAGUACGAGGAGGAAGG
rnacentral:rRNA from 1 species